ensembl:lncRNA
ACACUGACAAGUUCUUACAAAAAUUCCAACAUUAUUGCAAACAUUGAAUGCAACACAUACCGUAACCUAGCAACUAACCCACAAUGCCUUGCGUUGAGGAGACGCAUUUGAAAAGUUAACAUUAGCAGUUCUAUACAGGCGAAAAUAGCAGCAUGUCUUUUUCUAUCCUGAAACGACAAAUCGGUGAGGAAAACCGUCGGUUUAAUCCUGCGUGGACUGACAAGUAUUUAUUUAUUUACCACCAAGUCCGAACGCCAAACCAAUGCGUUUACUCUGCAACGAGUGCUUUGCAGCGCUGAAAGAUUAUAAUGUCCGAAGACACCACGUUGGAAAAACAUGCUGCGUUUCGGACAAACUUUCCCGAGGGAUGUCAUGAGAGAGCGGCUAUAAUUCAAAGUUUGACUGCAUCUUACAACCGGAGCUGUACUACAAUGAAGCGGACCUGCACAGCUCAGGAAAGGGCCACGAAAAAGAGGCCGUUCACAGACUCAGAAACUGUGAAGGACUGCAUGUUGGCUGUCGUGGAUGAAGUUUUAACGGACGGUAAAGUUAAGACGAGUGUGACAUCUGCUAACAAACAGGUCUGACACGUCAAACAUUCUCGCCACAGAUGUCUUCCAGACAUGGUUUCCCAGAGACUAUGGGUUGAGGAGGAAUUGGAAGUUUGUCGGCUUAGACCUGGUGUCAUUCCAUCAGUGUUAAACUUCCCGGCUCAUCUUGGAAGAGUAUGUGCCAGAAAGACCACAACCAAGCAGCCUUGAGAUCUUAGACAGCGUCUCCCUCAGGUCCCUCUCUAUCUCCCCACACAUCCACCAACCACUGGAACACAUCUCCAAAGUUCUGCUGGGCCAGCUCAGCUUCCCCUCAGAAGAAGUUCCACCAGAUGAAGGAGCCUUUUGAGAGGCAGCUGGCAUCGUGAUUGGACUGUACUUUGGUCUGUUCCAAUCCAGCUUCAGCUCCAGAGACGGCAGGCGGGACAAGUCAACGGAGGCCGGGUGGACGAAGGCAUGAAGCUGAGUACAAUACAGAAAACAACAGAGGAGGAGUGCAGCAGCCCAGGGCCAGAACAAACAGAGUAGCAUCAUAUGUCUCUUAGAAAACAUCAUAGUAUAGCCUUUGGUAUGAAAAAACGCCAUAAUAUACAUCAUAUAUUGUACAAAUAACAAGUCAAAGGAAAGAGACAUCAACUGUAGAAUUGUAGUAAUUGUGGGCUGACUGAUUUACUGAUUAUCAGUAUUUUAAUUUGUACUGAUUUACGGUAAUAAAUACAUUUAAAAAUGGUGCUACUUUGGCUCUGAACCUUUAUCUACCUGUGGUCACUCUGCCUUCUGGAGUGAUUUGAUUGGUUAUAUGUCACGAAUAAAACUCUAACAUCUGUAAACAAAAAAAAAAUCAUAUGAACUAAGUUUUCUGUUAGUUUGUGUUCUUCUAAGUUUAACUCCAAGAUUUUAAAUACUUUCAUUUACUGCAAAUGAAUAUCUACUCCAAAUGUCUCACUAAUAAUCAUUAUCAGCCUUAAAAACCCACAAAACAUCCCUCUAUACUCAACCACACUUAGUACAGUCCGGUUCCCCCUCUAUAAAUCUGCUUGGAAUCUUCCACUUCCUGUUUGUCAAAGUGGCCUUCUACCUGGACAGGUUUUGUUGGAGCUCAUGCAACAAACAUUUUGGGUAACUGCACUUUAAUAUGGAUGGAUGACACUGAAUUAGAGUCUGUAUUAAUGAGACUGAGUUAAGAUGUGUAGCUCUGUCAUUAAAUAGGAAAUUAUUUCUCAAAGUCUGAAAUGUUUGCUAGGUUAGUGUCCCACAUGUUCUUUGGCUCAGCUAAAGCUAACUCUCUCCAUAUUCUGGAUCUCUUGAGUUACUUGUUGUUAAAAUAUCUUGCUAGAGGUGCUGAAGCUCAGAAAGUCUGAGAUGUUUGUUCAAAAUAAGCUCAUUCUCAAGUCUUACCUGAACUGUCCUCUUUUGUUUGAACUUUCCCUAAACUUAGGAGUUAAUGACAGAGCAGCACAUCCAGACUCAGUCUCAUUUAUGUAGAGAUUAAACUUCAGUGUCAUUCACUGAUGUUAAAGUGCAGUUUUUCAAAUGUUUGUUGCACAUGCUCCCGACCAAACCAGUUCAGGUGGAAGACGAUGUGAAGAGAAAGCUCCAGAGGAUGAAUAUCACACAUUUACGUUGGAAAUAAAUGUCCUUUAAUUAGACAUUGUCAUGGAAAAGUUGGAUUUCCCUUUAAUGAUGUUCAAAUCUUUGUUGAGUGUUUUGUUGAUGUUUGUUUCUAAAUGUUUUUUGACACUUGGCCCCAAAGAUUAAAACCUUUUACGGCUCACAAGCUGCAACAAUUCACACAUCAUCAACUAUCUUUCUGACUAAACUGAGAUAAAAAGUGAAAAACUCUCUGAUUCCUGCAUCAUGAAUGUAAAUCUUUUUGGUUUUUAUGACAGUAAACUGAAUAUAUUUGGGCUUGACAUUUUAUAAACCAAAGCAAGAAAUGAAUUACUGGAGAAAACGACAGAUUAAUGGACAAAGAAAAUGUGUUUUCUAACAUAUAUGGCUGAAUUACUCCAACAUUACAAGAUACAUACAAUUUUAAUUUAAUUUUAUUUAUAUAACGCCAGUUACAGGUCAAAUUAUCUCAAGA